CAUUAGAUGACUGAAAGUAAGUACUGGUCUCUUAAACCAUUCUAUAAUAGUUUAACAUCUAUUUCUAAUGA
rnacentral:tRNA from 1 species